rnacentral:rRNA from 1 species
GACGAACGCUGGCGGCGUGCUUAACACAUGCAAGUCGAACGGAAAGGCCCUGCUUUUGUGGGGUGCUCGAGUGGCGAACGGGUGAGUAACACGUGAGCAACCUGCCCUUGACUUUGGGAUAACUUCAGGAAACUGGGGCUAAUACCGGAUAGGAGCUCCUGCUGCAUGGGGGGGGUUGGAAAGUUUCGGCGGUUGGGGAUGGACUCGCGGCUUAUCAGCUUGUUGGUGGGGUAGUGGCUUACCAAGGCUUUGACGGGUAGCCGGCCUGAGAGGGUGACCGGCCACAUUGGGACUGAGAUACGGCCCAGACUCCUACGGGAGGCAGCAGUGGGGAAUAUUGCACAAUGGGCGGAAGCCUGAUGCAGCAACGCCGCGUGCGGGAUGACGGCCUUCGGGUUGUAAACCGCUUUCGCCUGUGACGAAGCGUGAGUGACGGUAAUGGGUAAAGAAGCACCGGCUAACUACGUG